UACGAGGGGUGCAAGCGUUGCUCGGAAUUAUUGGGCGUAAAGGGUAGGUAGGUGGUCUCAUUUGUCCGGGGUGAAAGCCUUGAGCUUAACUCAAGAAGUGCCUCGGAAACGGUGAGACUAGAGUCUUUGGAGAGGGUCGUGGAAUUCUCGGUGUAGCGGUGAAAUGCGUAGAGAUCGGGAGGAACACCAGAGGCGAAGGCGGCGACCUGGACAAGUACUGACACUCAACUACGAAAGCGUGGGGAGCAAACAGGG
rnacentral:rRNA from 1 species